rnacentral:rRNA from 1 species
AAUGAGCGCUGGCGGCAGGCCUAACACAUGCAAGUCGAGCGGCCGUAGCAAUACGGCAGCGGCAGACGGGAGAGUAACACGUGGGAACGUACCUUUCAGUUCGGAACAACCCAGGGAAACUUGGGCUAAUACCGGAUACGCCCGUAAGGGGAAAGAUUUAUCGCUGAAAGAUCGGCCCGCGUCUGAUUAGCUAGUUGGUGAGGUAACGGCUCACCAAGGCGACGAUCAGUAGCUGGUCUGAGAGGAUGAUCAGCCUCGACUGAGACACGGCCCAGACUCCUACGGGAGGCAGCAGGUGGGAAUAUUGCGCAAUGGGCGAAAGCCUGACGCAGCGACGCCGCGUGAGGGAUGACGGCC